rnacentral:lncRNA from 1 species
CCCCUGGGCUCCUCCCGAAGCGGCCGCCACGCGAGGCUAGAGUGGCUCUUGGCAACAGGAGUGACGAUAAACUCCUAAAAUGCCGUGGGUUAUGAGUUGCUGCUCAAAAACUUCCCACCCAGGGAAGGGGGCUAGAAACAGGAAGGGGGAGUGCGGUGUCGUGGAGAGAUUGCGCACGGCUUAUGCUGGCGUAUCUUUGCUUCUUCUAAAAUAUUUUUGUUUAUUUCUAGAGAAGGAAUUUUUGGGCCUUAAAACUUUUCCAACCGUGUUGGAACUGCCUUAGCGUGUGCGCUGUGACGACAGGCGCCCACGUCUCCGCAGUUGUACGUGCCUGAAGCGUGGUUUAGCGCUUUGCAUGGAAAAGGUGUACAGCGGCGCACAGGUGUAUGCGUUUGCAGUAGGAAAGCUGUCAACAUGCAAGGUAGUCGAGGUUUGAGCAGGCUCAGGUGUGUGGGCAUCCAGAAGAACAGUGUGGGAAAAGAGCUUUUGUUUAAGUGCGGAGAGGAAAAGUUUCAAUGUGUGCGCCACGCCGGUGCAACGUAGACCUGUCUGUGAAGCAUGUGCUACGUCCGCAAAAGAAGAGCGGGAAGAAUCAGAUUUUUGAAACUGCUACGUUUUCUCUGAUGGUGACUCAUCCACCUAUAACUAGAGCAAAGAUUCCAGAUCAAAUGCCAAUGGAUGCAAUGUUGUUAAAGAAACAUUUGGAGAGAUGCGUACACGGACACCAUGAUCACAAAAACUUCAUUUCCAUAGGAAAGAAUGAAAAUAGACAUGCGACUGCAAUGCUGAACGUUACUGUGUGUAACCCCUCUGGGAAGACUUAAAAGGCAAAAUAGGUGUUAUCUCUGCAGCUGGGAGUGCCAGAUCCUUUUGCUGGAAGUUUUCCAGUGACCUUUGGAGUCCCUGCAGGGAGUGAAGGGCCCUAUCUCACGUCACCCGCCAGUGGUUCCACAAGAGUCGAUGCUGUCCCAUCAGCCUGUCAGUCUGGCAGUGAAAUCACUCUGCCACAGGGUCCAUAUGCUGCUGACGGGAAUUUCAGCACAGUAUUCCAGCCUGUAAGUGUAAGCUGCUUCUGAAGUCUCAUCUUUGUGCAGCGGUUAUUCUGAGUAGAGUCAGGAGAAAUUCUGGUCCCAGGAGUAUCACUAUUAUUGGCUUGAAACUGAUAAGAAAACUGCAAUCGUCUUCAAGCCAAGAUUGCCUCUGACUUGCUUCCUUCCUCUGUGUUUUUGUUGUUUCCCAUGUACCGGCUGUUUCUUUGAUCAGCAGUUAGAAGUCGUUUGUGACGUUCCCUGCUAACUCUAAGAACUUUCCAAAGCUUUCUUGUGACUCCCUUCCCUCUCCCUGCCUUUGACGUUUUUUGUUACAUUUAGUAGGCCAACUCCUGCUUAGAUUACUCAUGCCAGUAAUCCCUGGGCUGGCAGUGGGAUAAUUAGAGAAA